rnacentral:rRNA from 1 species
GAGGAAAGAGGGAGGAGGGAAGAAGAAAGGAAAGUAGAGUGAACAGACGAGGAGCUUGCUCCUCUGACGUUAGCGGCGGACGGGUGAGUAACACGUGGAUAACCUACCUAUAAGACUGGGAUAACUUCGGGAAACCGGAGCUAAUACCGGAUAAUAUAUUGAACCGCAUGGUUCAAUAGUGAAAGACGGUUUUGCUGUCACUUAUAGAUGGAUCCGCGCCGCAUUAGCUAGUUGGUAAGGUAACGGCUUACCAAGGCAACGAUGCGUAGCCGACCUGAGAGGGUGAUCGGCCACACUGGAACUGAGACACGGUCCAGACUCCUACGGGAGGCAGCAGUAGGGAAUCUUCCGCAAUGGGCGAAAGCCUGACGGAGCAACGCCGCGUGAGUGAUGAAGGUCUUCGGAUCGUAAAACUCUGUUAUUAGGGAAGAACAAAUGUGUAAGUAACUAUGCACGUCUUGACGGUACCUAAUCAGAAAGCCACGGCUAACUACGUA